rnacentral:rRNA from 1 species
AGAGUUUGAUCAUGGCUCAGAUUGAACGCUGGCGGCAUGCUUUACACAUGCAAGUCGAACGGUAACGCGGGGGCAACCCUGGCGACGAGUGGCGAACGGGUGAGUAAUACAUCGGAACAUGUCCUGGAGUGGGGGAUAGCUCGGCGAAAGCCGGAUUAAUACCGCAUACGCUCUGAGGAGGAAAGCGGGGGACCUUUCGGGGCCUCGCGCUGCAGGAGUGGCCGAUGUCGGAUUAGCUAGUUGGUGGGGUAAAGGCCCACCAAGGCGACGAUCCGUAGCUGGUCUGAGAGGAUGAUCAGCCACACUGGGACUGAGACACGGCCCAGACUCCUACGGGAGGCAGCAGUGGGGAAUUUUGGACAAUGGGGGCAACCCUGAUCCAGCCAUGCCGCGUGAGUGAAGAAGGCCUUCGGGUUGUAAAGCUCUUUCGGACGGAACGAAAUGGUUACGGUGAAUAUCCGUGACUGAUGACGGUACCGUAAUAAGAAGCACCGGCUAACUACGUGCCAGCAGCCGCGGUAAUACGUAGGGUGCGAGCGUUAAUCGGAAUUACUGGGCGUAAAGCGUGCGCAGGCGGUUCGCCAAGUCAGGUGUGAAAUCCCCGGGCUUAACCUGGGGAAUUGCGCUUGAAACUAGCGGGCUUGAGUGUGGCAGAGGGGGGUGGAAUUCCCGUGUAGCAGUGAAAUGCGUAGAGAUGUGGAGGAACACCGAUGGCGAAGGCAGCCCCCUGGGUCAACACUGACGCUCAUGCACGAAAGCGUGGGGAGCAAACAGGAUUAGAUACCCUAGUAGUCC